GAUUUAUAAAGAAGAGGGGAGAGAACGGGCUCUUUGAACCUCUAGCAACCUCCGGGAGCAAAUCCAGAAAGGUGCUAAUUCCUGACCUGAAUAAACAGGGCAUAUAAAUU
rnacentral:ncRNA from 2 species